AUGUCUACCAUACUCCUGAAUUUGGACUUUGGGGGACCUUUGAAAAAGGCAUUUGGAGGAAAUGCCAAACAUCAACGUUUUGUCAAGAAGCAACGGUUCUUGGAACAGAAAGGAUUUCUGAAUAAAAAGAACCAACCCCCUAGCAAGGUGUCUAAGUUGAACUCAGAACCUCCAAAGAAAGGGGAAACUUCAAGAGUAGAUGGCAUUUUGAGGAUCCUUCCAUGCCCAAAGAAGACGAAAGAGGCAGCUGCCUCAGAGCAUUCCAAAGACAAGAAAGCAUCAUUGUCUUGGCUGACCCCUGCUCCUUCAAAGAAGACUGAUUCUGUUGUCGCUAAAAUAGAUUUGCUGGGGGAGUUUCAGAGUACCCUUCCAAAGACUAAGAGCCACCCAUCUCCCAUCCAGAAGGCUCAGUCAAAGAAUAAAAGCUCCAAGAAGAAUCCCUUGAAGAAAAAUACUGUACAGAACUCCACCCAAGCUCGUUCCGAGGAUAAGUGCCCUAAAGUCUCCCAAAACUUGCCAGGGAAGAUGGCGGCAAUAGACUGUGAAAUGGUGGGCACAGGACCCAAGGCACAUGUCAGUUCCUUGGCCCAAUGCAGCACUGUGAAUUACAAUGGGGCCGUGCUUCAUGAUGAGUGCAUCCUCCCCACCCGCCCCCAUAUCAUACUGGACCAGGUAGAGUGGCAUUCAGAAGGGCCACAUGGUUAGUGCUACACCCUGUAAGACUGCUCGGAGUCAGAUCUUGAAGCUACUCUCUGGGAAGGUAGCAGUAGGGCAUGCCGUUCACAAUGACUACAAAGCCCAAGUCCUUCACCCGAGACACUUCCCAGAUACCACUCCUCAACCGGAAGGCUGACUGCCCAGAAAAUGUCACUUUGUCACUGAAACAUCUUACCAAGAAACUGCUGAAUCGGGACAUCCAGGCUGGAAAAAGUGGACAUUCCUCGGUGGAAGAUGCCCAGGCCACAAUGGAGCUAUACAAGUUGGUUGAAGUCGAAUGGGAACAACACCUGGGCCAGAAUCCCCCAGAAAAUUAGCAUUCCCAGGGAGAAACAUGCAGUAGACCAACCCACAGUUCUGCAGCUUCUCGCCUGUAGAAGCUAGAAUCAUUGGGGAGAGGGGCUUGACCAGAGACACAAUACCCACUGAAAUUUCAUCUCAGCUAUUGUGGUCACUGUAUGGUUAAGUGUCUCAUGGAAGAGGAAAACCUUCAUGUUAAAACCCACCUCUAGGUCAGGCAGGUGGCCCACCUGUAAUCCCAGAUAC